GACGAACGCUGGCGGCGUGCUUAACACAUGCAAGUCGAACGGAAAGGCCCUGCUUUUGUGGGGUGCUCGAGUGGCGAACGGGUGAGUAACACGUGAGUAACCUGCCCUUGACUUUGGGAUAACUUCAGGAAACUGGGGCUAAUACCGGAUAGGAGCUCCUGCUGCAUGGUGGGGGUUGGAAAGUUUCGGCGGUUGGGGAUGGACUCGCGGCUUAUCAGCUUGUUGGUGGGGUAGUGGCUUACCAAGGCUUUGACGGGUAGCCGGCCUGAGAGGGUGACCGGCCACAUUGGGACUGCGAGACGGCCCAGACUCCUACGGGAGGCAGCAGUGGGGAAUAUUGCACAAUGGGCGGAAGCCUGAUGCAGCAACGCCGCGUGCGGGAUGACGGCCUUCGGGUUGUAAACCGCUUUCGCCUGUGACGAAGCGUGAGUGACGGUAAUGGGUAAAGAAGCACCGGCUAACUACGUG
rnacentral:rRNA from 1 species